GUACAAGUGCUCCAUGGAGAAAAUCGUGAUUCAGCACCUGAGCCAUGAAAUAUACAAGAUGAGCCUGGAGAAUCCUGCAGUUCUAGAAAGGUGCUCCUUGACAUCCUAUGAAAGAAUGUCCUUGAAAAAAGAUGCUAAAAUGUUCAACGAUUUUUUUUAAAGCAGAAAGUCUGAAGUAGCUGCGGUGAGUGACAGCUGAACACAAAUUUCUGACUACUAGAAGAGGAGUCAUGUUAACAGUACAUAAAUAUUCACAGAGAUGGUAUCUUUAAAUAUAACUUGCAAAUAAUCUGACAGUAAAAAUGUAUUUUUAUGUUACCCAGUGGAAUUAAAGUGAACUUUUCUUCUUUC